rnacentral:lncRNA from 1 species
UGGUCGGAGAGCCGCGCGGCCUGAGGCUUCCUACCCAUCCCGCCUCUUCCCGGCGCUUCAGACGCAAGACCAUUCUUUAAAGAGUUGGCGUUCGAGGGCUGAAAGUCUGCUACCCAAGAUGAUGAAUGCUGACAUGGACGAUCAAGACAUAAGUUCUCAGCUGUUCCUGCCGCUGUAAGGAAAACACGAACCCCAUUUGUCUCCAUUUGAGGACCAGGCCUGAUUUCAAAAAAGGCCAUACAGCACCAGCUCCAGGAACAGAUCCUGAGUCCAGAAGACAGCAGCUCCAGGGACAGACCAUGAAAUCCAGAACAAGAUCCUAAAAGCCCCUCCCAAAGAACAGCCUGGGGUAACCACAAAAGGGGAAAUAUCUCAGGAUGGUAAUAUCUGCAAUAUCUGCACUGGGCAGUCAUAUUUCAUCACAUGGUUAAAUGUUCAUGACAGGAAUGCAGACCACUGACCACCUGUGACCCCCUAGCACCCACCAAUGAAAUUUCAUAUUACCUAGUUCUUCUAGAGAGUUACCCUGGUUCCCUAUAAGAAGGCCUGUGUGCCCUUGUCUGGGGUCACCAUUUUGGAGAAUGGUUGACCCUCAGCCAUUGAGGUUGACCCUCAACGCUGGAUGUUUCUGCAGAAUAAACACUCUUUGUUUUUGCAUACU